GACGAACGCUGGCGGCGUGCUUAACACAUGCAAGUCGAACGGAAAGGCCCUGCUUUUGUGGGGUGCUCGAGUGGCGAACGGGUGAGUAACACGUGAGUAACCUGCCCUUGACUUUGGGAUAACUUCAGGAAACUGGGGCUAAUACCGGAUAGGAGCUCCUGCUGCAUGGUGGGGGUUGGAAAGUUUCGGCGGUUGGGGAUGGACUCGCGGCUUAUCAGCUUGUUGGUGGGGUAGGGGCUUACCAAGGCUUGGACGGGUAGGCGGCAGGAGAGGGUGACCGGCGACAAUGGGACUGAGAUACGGACCAGACUCGUACGGGAGGCAGCAGUGGGGAAUAUUGCACAAUGGGCGCAAGCCUGAUGCAGCAGCGCCGCGUGCGGGAUGACGGCCUUCGGGUUAUAAACCGCUUUCGCCUGUGACGAAGCGUGAGUGACGGUAAUGGGUAAAGAAGCACCGGCUAACUACGUG
rnacentral:rRNA from 1 species